rnacentral:lncRNA from 1 species
AAGGGGCUAUUGUGCUGAAAUUUCUGUAUACUAUUCACUUACUAUUGUAUUUUGGGUUUUGAAUUUUGAAGGAUUUCAAAACUUGGAUAGAUUAAUCCAAACCUGAAAUCAGAGUAUGUAUGGGUUGACUUGUAUCCAAAAAAUAAAUGUUCUUACUUGGAUAGCAAGGAUCGGUGUUAUCUGAUAUUUUGUAUCUUGUA